rnacentral:tRNA from 2 species
GCGGGCGUGGUGGAAUUGGUAGACACGCAUGGUUUAGGUCCAUGUGGCGAAAGUCGUGGGGGUUCAAGUCCCUCCGCCCGCACCA